CCCACCCACAAUCCAGGAAAACAUUUCAAAAGGAAGAACUGCAGGGCAACCCUGCCUUCUCUGUAUCCUCCUGAUGCUCCCUUCCUCCUUUACACUCUCAAAGAUUCAGUGUCUUCAAAAUGAAGGCACUGCUAGAGGAGCAGUCCGGUGGGGGCCUCUCUGGAUAGGCCGUAUGGGGUCACAUUUCACAGUCUCCUCAUUCAGAGCAUUGGGAUGGCAGCAAAGGGAAGUUCACAAGAAUUCUAAAAAUCCAGGAAAGUUAAGUAUCUCUGCCUUGUCCUUUUGAGACUGGAGUCAGGGAUCUGGAACUAGGACACAGGUGCAAACACAUCAGAAUGAGGAACAGGACCCUGGAGAAUAUUUAAUGUCCCUACAAGACAGGCAGGAUCUGGGUUUUGCAGUCUCUUUCCCAAGGGCUCCAAAUAGAAAAGGAGAGAAGAGAGACUGAAGGAGGAAAAUGGGAGAUGGGGCCGAGGAGAAGCAAGCAACAUCAAUUCACAGCUGCGGUGUAUCCGUUUUUCUCGGUCUCCAGCGGUCUGAGUGGUUCUAACUACCUGAUGGAGGAGCUUCUGGUUCCUGCCCUAGAACUUCUCUGAUACUGAAGAGUGACCCACGGAUUCUCUGGACACUCACGCGUGGGAAAACAGGAAGUCCAGGGAGUUAAUAUCCAUGGGGUCAUUCUUGACCGAGUGGGAUGGUAGCCAAUGAAAAAAUGCUUCUUUCUUUUGUAUUUGGCCAACAGUUCUGAGAUGCUGUCUCGUCAGUGGGUUUCAGCCCCAGAGGGAGAGCGCCACAUGGCAAGGAAUGCAGAUGGCCUGCAGUUGCUGGGAACAGCCCCCAGCCUACAGCCAGCAAAGAAAUGGAGUCUGAGACCUACAAUUGUGCGGAAUUAAAUUCUACUAUAACCAGUUAAGCCUGGAAGAGGACUCUGAGCUCCUAAUGAGAAUGCAACUUGGUCUGCAUCUUGAUUUCUUCAGUCUUUUGAGAACCUGAACAAUGAACCCAGCCAUACUAGGGUGGACUUCUGACCUACAGACUGUGUCCUGAGAAAUAGGUGUUGUUUUAAGUCACUCAAUUUGUGGUAAUUUGUUACACAGUAAUAAAAACAGUU